rnacentral:rRNA from 1 species
AUUGAACGCUGGCGGAAUGCUUUACACAUGCAAGUCGAACGGUAGAGGGGGCAACCCCUCGAGAGUGGCGAACGGGUGAGUAAUAUAUCGGAACGUGCCCAGUCGUGGGGGAUAACGUAGCGAAAGUUACGCUAAUACCGCAUACGAUCUAAGGAUGAAAGCGGGGGAUCGCAAGACCUCGCGCGAUUGGAGCGGCCGAUAUCAGAUUAGGUAGUUGGUGGGGUAAAGGCUCACCAAGCCAACGAUCUGUAGCUGGUCUGAGAGGACGACCAGCCACACUGGAACUGAGACACGGUCCAGACUCCUACGGGAGGCAGCAGUGGGGAAUUUUGGACAAUGGACGCAAGUCUGAUCCAGCCAUUCCGCGUGCAGGAUGAAGGCCCUCGGGUUGUAAACUGCUUUUGUACGGAACGAAAAGGUCUCUAUUAAUACUAGGGGCUCAUGACGGUACCGUAAGAAUAAGCACCGGCUAACUACGUGCCAGCCGCCGCAGUAA